rnacentral:rRNA from 1 species
GACGAACGCUGGCGGCGUGCUUAACACAUGCAAGUCGAACGGAAAGGCCCCCUUGUGGGGUACUCGAGUGGCGAACGGGUGGGUAACACGUGAGUAACCUACCCUUGACUUUGGGAUAACUUCAGGAAACUGGGGCUAAUACCGGAUAGGAGCUCCUGCUGCAUGGUGGGGGUUGGAAAGUUUCGGCGGUUGGGGAUGGACUCGCGGCUUAUCAGCUUGUUGGUGGGGUAGUGGCUCACCAAGGCUUUGACGGGUAGCCGGCCUGAGAGGGUGACCGGCCACAUUGGGACUGAGAUACGGCCCAGACUCCUACGGGAGGCAGCAGUGGGGAAUAUUGCACAAUGGGCGGAAGCCUGAUGCAGCAACGCCGCGUGCGGGAUGACGGCCUUCGGGUUGUAAACCGCUUUCGCCUGUGACGAAGCGUGAGUGACGGUAAUGGGUAAAGAAGCACCGGCUAACUACGUG